UACGGAAGGCAGCAGUGGGGAAUAUUGCACAAUGGGCGCAAGCCUGAUGCAGCCAUGCCGCGUGUAUGAAGAAGGCCUUCGGGUUGUAAAGUACUUUCAGUCGUGAGGAAGGUGUUAAGGUUAAUAACCUUAGCAAUUGACGUUAGCGACAGAAGAAGCACCGGCUAACUCCGUGCCAGCAGCCGCGGUAAUACGGAGGGUGCGAGCGUUAAUCGGAAUUACUGGGCGUAAAGGGCACGCAGGCGGUUAAUUAAGUUGGAUGUGAAAUCCCCGGGCUUAACCUGGGAAUGGCAUUCAAGACUGGUUAGCUAGAGUCUUGUAGAGGGGGUAGAAUUCCAUGUGUAGCGGUGAAAUGCGCAGAGAUGUGGAGGAAUACCGGUGGCGAAGGCGGCCCCUGGGACAAAGGACUGACGCUCAUGUGCGAAAGCGUGGGGAGCAAACAGGAUUAGAUACC
rnacentral:rRNA from 1 species